UACGAAGGGGCUAGCGUUGCUCGGAAUCACUGGGCGUAAAGCGCACGUAGGCGGAUUGUUAAGUCAGGGGUGAAAUCCUGGAGCUCAACUCCAGAACUGCCUUGAUACUGGCGAUCUUGAGUCCGGGAGAGGUGAGUGGAACUGCGAGUGUAGAGGUGAAAUUCGUAGAUAUUCGCAAGAACACCAGUGGCGAAGGCGGCUCACUGGCCCGGUACUGACGCUGAGGUGCGAAAGCGUGGGGAGCAACAGGG
rnacentral:rRNA from 1 species